UGGAAGGGCCAGUACCAGGCCGAGCCUAUAAGAACAGUGGCCGAUCUUCUCCCGCCGGCAUCCAAGCCGUUCUCUCUCCCUUCCUCUAAGCUGUCGCCUCCGAAGCUCUUGAGUGGUGCUUCAAUCUUGCUCACAAUGGAGUCGACUUGUCGUCGCGUCAUCCCACUAAGAGGCGGCGUCCUCAAGCAGACCCUGAAGUUGAUGUGUGACCUCCUCUGCUGCUGCUGCUGCUUCGGCUGCUCCAGCUGCUCCUCCGCCGCGGAUCAGUGCUCUCAGCCUCUCGCUCCCGACCAGCCUGCUCGUCUAAAGUCUGAUGAGGUUCGGUCUCAAACUUUUUGAUCAUCCCACUGAGACCCGGCUAGAGACAAGAGGGUUUGUCAUUUCAGGGAAUGUUGACGCGGUGUCGGUUCUGCAAAUAAUCCAAACAGAUCUAGUCGUUCAGCAAAGCGAGAAGGUCUUGAAGGAAUUCAAAGUAAAGCAAUUUUGUGUCUAUUUUGAUUGGCAGUAACCUUUUGUGAUUUUAUAUGUUUUAUUUGGAGGUCAACAUCUGCUCUUCCUGUCAUCUGUUGUUCUAUUGUUGUUGAGGAAAUGAAUAGAAAAUCUCGACGAUGUCCAUUUAAUA